rnacentral:lncRNA from 1 species
GGUGAAGCUGGAGAUAUUUCGGAUGAUAAUCUACCUCACUUUCCCUGUGGCUAUGUUCUGGGUUUCCAAUCAGGCCGAGUGGUUUGAGGACGAUGUCAUACAGCGCAAGAGGGAGCUGUGGCCACCUGAGAAGCCAUGAGUAAGGAACCGAGAGCAGAGGAGUAGAUGGUUUCCUUAUUGCCUUCUCCUGGAAGAGUGAAGCGGAUCCCACGCGGACCCCUUUCUUCAAGAGAUAGAGGAAUUCAAAGAGAGGUUACGGAAGCGGCGGGAGGAGAAGCUCCUUCGCGACGCCCAGCAGAACUCCUGAGGCCUCCAAGUGGGAGUCCUAGCCCCUCCCCUGAUGAAAUAUACAUAUACUCAGUUCCUUGUUAUUCA